CACGUAGUUAGCCGGUGCUUCUUCUCCAGGUACCGUCACAAACAAGCUUCGUCCCUAGCGAAAGGAGUUUACAACCCGAAGGCCGUCAUCCCCCACGCGGCGUCGCUGCAUCAGGCUUGCGCCCAUUGUGCAAUAUUCCCCACUGCUGCCUCCCGUAGGAGUCUGGGCCGUAUCUCAGUCCCAAUGUGGCCGUACACCCUCUCAGGCCGGCUACCCGUCGACGCCUUGGUAGGCCAUUACCCCACCAACAAGCUGAUAGGCCGCGAGCUCAUCCCACACCGAAAAACUUUCCACCACACCAUCCAAAAUGUGGUCCUAUCCGGUAUUAGACCCAGUUUCCCAGGCUUAUCCCGAAGUGCAGGGCAGAUCACCCACGUGUUACUCACCCGUUCGCCACUCGAGUACCAGUGCAAGCACUGGCCUUUCCGUUCGACUUGCAUGUGUUAAGCACGCCGCCAGCGUUCAUCCUGAGCCAGGAUCAAACUCU
rnacentral:rRNA from 1 species